rnacentral:rRNA from 1 species
UACGGAGGUGGCAAGCGUUGCUCGGAAUCACUGGGCGUAAAGGGCGCGUAGGCGGGGAGGUAAGUCGGGUGUGAAAUCCCUCGGCCCAACCGAGGAACUGCGCCCGAGACUGCUUCUCUUGAGUCCCGGAGAGGAAGGUGGAAUUCCCGGUGUAGCGGUGAAAUGUGUAGAGAUCGGGAGGAACACCGGUGGCGAAGGCGGCCUUCUGGACGGUGACCGACGCUGAGGCGCGAAAGCGUGGGGAGCAAACGGG